CUUUACUGUAGCCUGGUAUUGGGUUCGGGCUUUGACUGCGCAGGAUAGGUGGGAGACUGAGAAGUGUGCCUUGUGGGGCACCUAGAGUCAACGGUGAGAUACCAUUCUGUCAGAGCUAGAAUUCUAACCUUCACCCGUGAUCCGGGGAAGGAACCGUAUCAGGUGGGCAGUUUGACUGGGGCGGUCGCCUCCUAAAAGGUAACGGAGGCGCGCAAAGGUGUUCUCAGGCUGGUCGGAAAUCAGCCGUAGAGUGUAAAGGCAGAAGAACGCUUGACUGUGAGAGUGACAACUCAAGCAGGGUGGAAACACGGCCUUAGUGAUCCGACGGUAUGCGCGUGGAAGUGCCGUCGCUCAACGGAUAAAAGUUA
rnacentral:rRNA from 1 species